rnacentral:lncRNA from 10 species
AAAACAUAGAAAUCAAUGUCCUCAUAGCAAUUACGUUCUGCUGGGAGGGACAGCUGAUAAACAAGAUAAAAGAUAUAAAAAUUAUAGCAUGUGAGAUAGUGAUAAAUGCUGAGCAAAGAAAAAAAGCUGGGAAAGCAAUAUGUAAUGUCAGGCAUUGGGGAAGUAUGAAAUGUCAAACCAGGGGGCUGGGAAAGUCCUUGCUGAGAAAGGAAAUUUCGAGUAGAGACUUGACAGAGGCAAGGGAGUGAGCUGGCAGUUAGCUGGGGCAAGGGCAUUCUAGGCAGUGGGAAGAGAAAGUGUAAAGUUCCUGAGAUUAAGAGCUCACCUGGGCAGUUUGAUGAACAGGGGAAAGGCCAGUUUGAUGAACAGCAUGGCUGGAAUGGAGUGAGGACGGGAGCGUCACAGGAGUUAAACUCGAAGUGGAAGCCAGAGAUGUUAAACACAGUGUCCCUUGUUCAGUUGGGAGAAAAGAGGCAUGAGCACUUCUCCGUGUCUUGGCCCAAGGGCACACACCGUGAGUCAGCGAUGUCUCCCAGAAGGGGUCUGGAGUCCCAUCCACAGGUGACAUGUUUUACUUUAUUCACGCCCCACCCAGGCCUUCUGGUUGCUUCCUUCACAUCUCUGUGGUGUCUGUUACCACUCUAUCAUCAGCUUGCUGUCUCCCACAAACAUGCUGGGAUUUUCCAACCAUGAGAUCUUCUCUUCCUCUUUUAUUCUUUUUUGGACUUGUGA